AAAAGAUCAAAAAGGAAGAGGGGACAGAGAGCCUACCCCCAAGCAGCUGCCCCCUGCACGGAUGCCCACUGCUGGGCUUUUAGCUCACAGAGUUGAGAUGCGGGGAUAUGACUUUACCCUUGGAUUGAAUCAAAUUCCCACAGUUACCCGAGAAUCAACCUUGCAACAGCUCUCAGUCCCCAGGAAGACCCCAGGAGGAUCUCACCUCUGGAGGAUCGCAGGGCUCCUCUACGUGGUGAAAAUAGACUUGAGUCAUCAUCAGACCAAGAGCAGGUGCAAGAGAGUGACUCUGCAGGAAGACCCCAGGCACCCUAGCCCUGAUGCGGCUGCAAGGCACAGAAUGAACGAGGCAGGAGGCCCCAGAUGUGGGUGAUUUCUCCACAGUGGACCCACUUACGUUCCAAUCCGAGCUCUGCCACCUGCCAGCUAUGUGACUUUGUCACCUUACCAGCCUGGGUCUCUGCUUGCCUUUCUUUGAAACAGGAAUAUUAAUAGUAAGAACCUUAUAAAGUUGU